AAUAAUAAUUGGAGGCAUCACUUUACUGAACCAAUGAGCCUUGUAGCCAUGUGCUCCAAAUAAACUACUGCAGAAUUUAAGCAAGAGGAGCACAAGAAGGCACCAAAAUUCAAAAGAAAAACCUUUGAAAAAAGUUACUACUGAAGUUAUGUAGUUGGAAUGAUGAUGAUGUUUUAGCAGCAGAUGAUGAUGAGUCAGAAGACGAAAAGAAGGAGGACGGAGAAAUGGUCGGAGAGGACGCCAUUGUUAAGAGAUGAUGAAGAAGAGGAUUGGUAUGUGAGUGUGUAUUUAUAGGCGCGUAAUUUGAAUAAUUGGGAUAAUGUUGUGACGUUUUUUUGACUUGUUAAUGAUACUAUAUAUAGAUUUCGUGAUUUUUGCUUCUCAGUUUA